AUGAACGCUAGCUACAGGCUUAACACAUGCAAGUCGAGGGGCAGCAUGAACUUAGCUUGCUAAGUUUGAUGGCGACCGGCGCACGGGUGAGUAACACGUAUCCAACCUGCCGAUGACUCGGGGAUAGCCUUUCGAAAGAAAGAUUAAUACCCGAUGGCAUAGUUCUUCCGCAUGGUGGAACUAUUAAAGGAUUUCGGUCAUCGAUGGGGAUGCGUUCCAUUAGGUUGUUGGCGGGGUAACGGCCCACCAAGCCUUCGAUGGAUAGGGGUUCUGAGAGGAAGGUCCCCCACAUUGGAACUGAGACACGGUCCAAACUCCUACGGGAGGCAGCAGUGAGGAAUAUUGGUCAAUGGACGAGAGUCUGAACCAGCCAAGUAGCGUGAAGGAUGACUGCCCUAUGGGUUGUAAACUUCUUUUAUACGGGAAUAAAGUGAGGCACGUGUGCCUUUUUGUAUGUACCGUAUGAAUAAGGAUCGGCUAACUCCGUGCCAGCAGCCGCGGUAAUACGGAGGAUCCGAGCGUUAUCCGGAUUUAUUGGGUUUAAAGGGAGCGUAGGCGGACGCUUAAGUCAGUUGUGAAAGUUUGCGGCUCAACCGUAAAAUUGCAGUUGAUACUGGGUGUCUUGAGUACAGUAGAGGCAGGCGGAAUUCGUGGUGUAGCGGUGAAAUGCUUAGAUAUCACGAAGAACUCCGAUUGCGAAGGCAGCCUGCUGGACUGUAACUGACGCUGAUGCUCGAAAGUGUGGGUAUCAAACAGGAUUAGAUACCCUGGUAGUCCACACAGUAAACGAUGAAUACUCGCUGUUUGCGAUAUACAGUAAGCGGCCAAGCGAAAGCGUUAAGUAUUCCACCUGGGGAGUACGCCGGCAACGGUGAAACUCAAAGGAAUUGACGGGGGCCCGCACAAGCAGUGGAGUAUGUGGUUUAAUUCGACGCAACGCGAAGAACCUUACCAAGUCUUGACAUCCCUUGACAGGCAUAGAAAUGUGUUUUCUCUUCGGAGCAAGGAGACAGGUGGUGCAUGGUUGUCGUCAGCUCGUGUCGUGAGAUGUUGGGUUAAGUCCCGCAACGAGCGCAACCCCUGUGAUUAGUUGCCAGCGAGUAAUGUCGGGAACUCUAAUCAAACUGCCGGUGAUAAAUCGGAGGAAGGUGGGGACGACGUCAAAUCAUCAUGCCCUUUAUGUCUUGGGCUACACACGUACUACAAUGGCUAUAACAAAGAGAAGCGAGACAGUGAUGUGGAGCAAAACUCAAAAAAAUAGUCUCAGUUCGGAUUGAAGGCUGAAAUUCGCCUUCAUGAAGCUGGAAUUGCUAGUAAUGGCAGGUCAGCAUACUGCCGUGAAUACGUUCCCGGGCCUUGUACACACCGCCCGUCACACCAUGAGAGUUGGAAAUACCCGAAGCCUGUGAGCUAACCUAUGAGGCAGCAGUCGAAGGUAGAGCCAAUGAUUGGGGUG
rnacentral:rRNA from 1 species